rnacentral:snRNA from 1 species
GGAUGCAAGGGCGAUAAGCCUGCAUGAUCUGUCUCUCCAUGGAUCGCCAUGGUUGAUUCCGCUGGUGUGGCUGGCGAGGUGGGUGUCCCCUUCCUGCCUCACUGCUUUGUGUGUUUCCUCCUAGAAGCUGCAUGCUUGAUUGAAGAAGACCUUUCCCAAUAGAGGAGAACCAUUCUUUUGGUGAAGGAUAAAUUAGGAGCUACUCUCCCCUGGAGCUGGAACCUCCAAAUAAGCUCUCAAGAAUAUGGUCUUGAGAAGCAAUCAGCUGGAAUCCUGGACUAGUUGCAACUGAGAGGUCCCGGAUGACACUCCUC